AUAUACACAUAUACACACACACGUAACUGUGUGUGUGUGUAUAUAUAUAUAUAUAUAUAUAUAUGUGUGUGUGUGUGUGUGUGUAC
rnacentral:miRNA from 1 species